UCCGCUUUUGGUUCGAGCUUAUCACGCUGAAACUCUUUCACAUAAGUAUCGCUACCCCCAAACUUUUAUGAAACGAUAGCUUAGGUUUCUCUAAACCAUAGUUCAUACGGUGUCAUCUCAACGGAAUUACGUGGUGCCCUAUUUAAAGUGGAUGUGGUUGUCUCUAGUUCCUAACUCAUAAACGAUAGUGUUAAUUUGAUAAGAUACGUCAUAUUAUGCACCAUACCUAAUAGGGCACGACUAUGACAUACGAACACACCAUCAGACUAUGGUGUUCCAGGUGGCAUGAGUUGUGAAACAAUUUUCAUGUGAACCAAUUUUCACAUUGUCUUAAAUGUUUACCAAACUCGCAACUCAGAUAUAUAUGUUUACCUCCACGAUCAUAUCAUGGACACAUUAUCGUCUUGUCACAAUGAUCUUUAACUUCACUCUGAAAUUACUUGAACCUUUCAAUAAUUCAGACUUGUGUUUCAUCGAGUAAAUAUACUAGUAUCUACUCAAAUCAUAUGUGAAGUAAGAACAUAAUGAUAUCCACUGCGUGAUUCAGUACUCAUUGGACCACACACAUCAAAAUGUUUUACUUCCAACAAGUUACCUUCUUGUUCCAUCUCACUGGAAAACGAGGUAUUCAGUCAUCCUUCCCAUGUGGUAUGAUUUGCAUGUCUCAAGUGAUUCAAAAUCAAGUGAGUCCAAAGAUCCAUCCGUAUGGAGCUUCUUCAUGCGUUUUUGCACCAAUAUGACUC
rnacentral:lncRNA from 1 species